UGCACGGUGGUGCAGUUGGUAGCACUGUUGUUUUAGCAGCAAGAAGGUUCUGGGUCCAACUCCCGGCCGGGGGGGCCU